AUCUUUGUCCUAGGUUCUUGGCACAGAACUCCUAAAAACCUUGGAACUUCCAGAGUGGUAAAUGUGAUAGGGCUCCUUUUUGUUCUGAGGAGACUCUUGGUGGGCCCCUAUAUAGCUUGACUAUGGGACCUGGUUGCCAGAAGACCAAGCCAUGAUUAGAAGUUUGGAACUUUUGGUCCCAUUCCCCAACCUCCAGGGAAGAGAGAAAGACUGUAAAUUUAGUUAAUCACCAAUGGCUACAAUCAUGAGUGACUUGUCUUCGAAAAUGUCGUUGCCCCGGGGAAGGUAUUUUAUAGGUGUAGGAAACUUUAAGUGGUCACUUAGGACUUCGAAAUAAGUACGGCCUGAGGCCAGGAGGAGAAAGCAGUGCCCUCAACACUGCUGUAAACGCGCAUUUGUAGUCAACCUAUUAAAAAGACCCAGCACCAUAUGGAUGUCUCACGGAUUACAACUCUCUACUAUAGUGGUGAGUCUAAUUUGAGAAUUAUUUUUCCUUUAUAUUAGUAAGUAAUUUCAAGUGAUUUAUAUUUAUGAAGUGUUUAGUAUUCCACAUCUGAAUUUUGAGUUGCAGAGUAACCGUUGUAAGACUUUAUUCACAAAUGAUACAAAAUAAUAGUCUCCCCAUUGUCCACAUACAUUCUGAAGACGUAAAUUGUGGGCUGGUCCACCCAAAACCAGUAGGCUAAUAGAUCUUCUUGAAUAAGCAAUCGAUUCAUUCAAAUUACUGAGCUCAUAAUAGUGGAUUGUUUCAGUGAACUGUGUGGCUGUUUCAAGAAAUUAACCAUGUGGUAUCAAUAUCUUCUGGACAUAGAGGCACUUUCUUUGUUGAGGGCAGAAUGGCAGAAGGAAGAGAAAAGGAGAUUGUGGAAGGAAACUCCAACAGUUUAUGACGAUGAUCUCUACUAGAGCUUACAAGUCAGUGCGAAUAUGGAGAAGGAGACUAUAAUCAAUUUCCCUACGAGCUUCAGAAAGGGCGUGAUUUUGGGAUUAAUAGACACAGAAUUCCUCAAACAUUUUCUAAAUAAAGGGCCUAGAAGAAAUAAGAAAAAUUCUGGCAGCAAACUAUUUUAUUACUUUAAGAAUAAUGAAGAACAGUUUCCUUUUCUUUCUCUGAAGGAUGUGUACAUGUACACCUGGAAAACUAUCCAUAACCUAUUCCUGGAGGGGAAGUAUUUCUCUCACUUCACGAAAAUAUAUAGGUACAUUUAAAAAAAGACUUCACUCAAUUUCAGUCACCUUAUUUAAUAGCCUAACAUUAAUUUGGUCCACAUUGAUGUAAAGAAGAAAUACUUAUAAUAUUCUCAUAAUUUGCUGAGUUAAUAUGGACUUUUAGUUAAAGGCUAAAUGUUUCACUUAGCAAGUGAAUUCAUUUAUAUAGCCAUAAAGCCAAUAAAUUCUUUAUUAAAAAUUCUAUGUAUGAUAUUUAGUGAAAAAGAUCAAGCUGCAUUAGUUAUGUACAAGAAAUUAAGUAAUAUAUUUAUAUUGACCUUCCUAUUAAAUUAUCUAUUAUAGUAUGUUGAAAAGCCUAAUUUACUGAAAUACCAUGCAUCACAAUUUUUCACAAUAGAGGAAGAUAUUACAGAGUUACUUAUUUAUUUACUACAUUUUCUUUUUAAAGAGUCAUGGUUCCAAAUUUACUGUUAUUAAUUUAGAGACACACGUGGGGGUGUGUGUGUCCAUGUGUGUAUCUCUCUAUCAUCUAUCUAUUUCAUCCUCACAUUUCCAGAGCAUUCAGUUAAAUGAUCAAAUUUACAUUUUGUGCUAUGGCUUUCUAGCUAUUGUUUAUGUG
rnacentral:lncRNA from 1 species